rnacentral:snRNA from 1 species
AUACCUUUCUCGGCCUUUUGGCUAAGAUCAAGUGUAGUAUCUGUUCUUAUCAGUUUAAUAUCUGAUAUGUGGGCCAUUGGCUCACACGAUAUUAAAUUAAUUUUUUAAGGGGGAGAGUCCUACACAAUAGCUUGCUAUUGGGGCUCUCGAGUGUCGUCCUGGUGUUGCACUACUGCCCGGACCUGGCACACCCCAC